UACGUAGGGGGCGAGCGUUGUCCGGAGUUACUGGGCGUAAAGGGCACGUAGGCGGUCAUCGACGUUUGGGGUUACAGCUGCCGGCUUAACCGGCAGAGCGCCUCGAAAACGGGAUGACUUGAGGCCGCGAGAGGGGCACAGAAUUCCGGGUGUAGUGGUGAAAUGCGUAGAUAUCCGGAGGAAUACCAAAGGCGAAGGCAGUGUCCUGGCGCGGGACUGACGCUGAGAGGCGAAAGCUAGGGGAGCGAACGGG
rnacentral:rRNA from 1 species